rnacentral:rRNA from 1 species
AUGGCCUCACCUGGAUUUCCAUCCAUAUCCAUACCCAUUCUCUUCUUGAUCACCCUGCUCUGCACUGUACCCACAUCUUCUUCUCCUGGUCCAAGCAAGAGCAAUGGCAGCGACACUGAUCUUGCUGCCCUGCUUGCUUUCAAAGCGCAGCUCUCCGACCCUCUCGGCAUCCUUGCCAGCAAUUGGACCACCGGCACGAAUUUCUGCCACUGGUUUGGUGUCACAUGCAGUCGGCGCCGGCAGCGCGUCACCGCUUUGAGACUGUCGGGCUCCCCCCUCCAUGGAUCAGUCAGUCCCCACCUUUGUAAUCUCUCUUUCCUCUCUGUUCUCAACCUCGAGACUACAAAUCUCACAGGCUCCAUCCCCGAUGAUUUAGGACGGCUUCGUCGUCUUAAAUACCUGAAUAUCGGAUACAAUGAUCUAUCAGGUAGCAUCCCAACCACCAUAGGAAACCUCACAAGGCUUCAUGUUCUUUCCUUGCAUUUUAACCAUCUAUCUGGUUCAAUCCCGGUAGAACUGCAGAACCUGCAGAGUCUUAGCUACUUCAGUAUCAUGAGGAAUUACCUGAGCGGCUCAAUACCCACCUAUCUAUUUAAUAAUACGCCCCUGAUAACUUACCUGAACAUCGCCAACAAUAGCCUGUCAGGACAUAUACCAUCUUGUAUUGGCUCCUUACCAAUGCUCAAGUCCCUUGUCCUUCAAGCGAAUCAUUUCAGCGGCCCAGUACCUCCAUCCGUAUUCAACCAUUCUAGAUUAACUAAACUCUGGCUUGACUUCAACUACAACUUAACUGGUCCGAUUCCUAGCAACGAAAGUUUUAGUCUACCAGCGUUGCGAAGAAUCAGCCUGGACAGCAACAAAUUCACCGGUGAGAUUCCAUCGGGGCUCUCCUCUUGUAGCUACCUCCAAGGUAUCUCCUUCAGCCAGAAUUUCUUUGAGGGUGUUGUGCCAACGUGGCUGGGCAAGCUUUCUCAUCUCACUUUCCUUUCUUUCGACGAGAAUCACCUUGUUGGUCCAAUUCCUGCUGCACUUAGCAACCUCACUCAACUAAGUUUACUAGGCCUAGAUGGCUGUAAGCUGUCAGGAGCCAUUCCGGAAGAAUUUGGACAGUUGGACCAACUGAAUUGGUUUGAUGUCUCGGACAAUCAACUAGUCGGACCCAUUCCUGCUUCUCUUGGUAACCUGUCUGAAUUAGCAUACCUACACUUAAACAAUAAUAUGUUCCUUGGAUCGGUACCAAGAACAAUUGGUAGUACCAACUCUAUGGUUCGUAUUGAUAUUUCAGAGAACUGCCUAGAGGGGGAUCUUAGCUUCUUAUCCCGUUUUUCUAAUUUUAGAAAGCUCCAGUUUCUUCACAUCUCUUCAAAUAAUUUCACCAGGGGCAUUCCUAACUAUGUGGGGAACCUGUCAAGCCAAUUGCAGAUUUUUAGUGCAUCUGAGAACAAUUUUGUGGGUGAACUUCCGGCUACGAUUUCAAACUUAACAGGUCUUGAAUGGCUAGAUUUUUCAAAGAAUCAGUUGGAUAGCAAGAUUCCAGAAUCCAUCGUGAUGAUGGAGAAUCUCCAGUGGCUUGACCUUGAUGGAAAUCACUUGUUUGGGUCCAUCCCACCUCAGAUUGCAAUGCUUAAGAAUAUAGGUCAUUUGUUCCUCUACAACAAUAAAUUGUCUGGUUCAAUACCGGAGGGGAUUGGUAACCUCACCAAGUUAGAAUACCUGGUACUGUCUGCCAACCAGUUAUCAUCAAUAAUCCCAUCGAGUUUAUUUCAUCUUGACAGUGUCAUUAAGCUAGAUGUGUCUCGAAACUUCUUUGCUGGCACAUUACCGGUUGAUAUGGGCAAUUUGAAUCAAAUUUACAGCAUGGACCUCUCUGCCAACCUCUUGGUUGGUAGCAUCCCAUAUUCGGUUGGACAACUCCAAACGAUGGCCUACUUGAACCUGUCACACAAUUCAUUUGAUGAUUCACUUCCAGAAUCUUUCGGCAAGCUAACCAGCUUGCAAACUUUGGACCUAUCACAUAACAAUCUCUCUGGUACAAUACCAAAGUACCUAGUAAAUUUCACCAUCUUGACCAGCUUGAACAUGUCUUUCAACAAGCUACAAGGUCAAGUACCAGAAGGUGGUGUCUUCUUAAAUAUUAGUCAGCAAUCCUUGACGGGGAAUUCAGGGCUUUGUGGUGCUUCACGUUUAGGAUUUCCAAUGUGCCCAAGUAACUCUAAAAGAGCUAAUAAUGGCCGCAUGCUGAAGAUUAUGCUCCCUACUAUCAUCAUAGCAAUUGGACUUGUAGCUUUCUGCAUAUAUGUAACAGUCAGAAAGAAGAUUACGAAGCGGCAAGGGAUGUCUGCUUCUCCCGGUAUGGUUGACAUGCCCACCCAUCACCUGGUCUCGUACCAUGAGCUUGUUCGAGCAACUGAUAAUUUUAGUGAGAGCAACCUGCUAGGGUCUGGAAGUUUCGGAAAAGUUUUCAAGGGCCAACUAAGCAAUGGUUUGAUUGUUGCAAUCAAAGUUCUAGACAUGCAGCUAGAACAAGCGAUGAGAAGCUUUGAUGCAGAGUGUGGUGUACUACGGAUGGCACGACACCGCAAUCUAAUGAGGAUACUCAAUACCUGCUCCAACUUGGAAUUUAGGGCAUUGGUGCUUCAAUACAUGCCCAAUGGCAGCUUAGAAAUGCUGCUACACAACUCUCAAGGUACAACCGAAUUGGGAUUCAGUGAGAGACUAGGCAUCAUGCUCGAUGUGUCAUUGGCAAUGGAGUAUCUGCACCAUGAACACUACGAGGUGGUCUUGCACUGUGACUUGAAGCCUAGCAAUGUGUUGUUCGAUGAGGACAUGACAGCACAUGUGGCAGACUUUGGCAUUGCAAGGUUGUUACUAGGUGAUGACAGCUCUACAAUCACUGCAAGCAUGCCUGGAACUGUUGGCUACAUGGCACCAGAGUAUGGGGCUCAGGCAAAAGCUUCACGAAAAAGUGAUGUAUUCAGCUUUGGAAUCAUGCUCUUUGAAGUCUUCACUAGAAAGAGACCCACAGAUGUGUUUUUUGUUGGAGAAAUAAGCCUGAGGCAGUGGGUUGUUGAGGCAUUUCCCGCAGAACUUGUCCGUGUUGUGGAUGAUCAGCUACUACAAGGGUCUUUUANNNNNNNNNNNNNNNNNNNNNNNNNNNNNNNNNNNNNNNNNNNNNNNNNNNNNNNNNNNNNNNNNNNNNNNNNNNNNNNNNNNNNNNNNNNNNNNNNNNNGGGGUUAUUGGGCCUUAUGGGCCCAAGUGGAGGAAGAGGAGAGGCGGCCAUCUAG